rnacentral:rRNA from 1 species
AUUGAACGCUGGCGGCAGGCCUAACACAUGCAAGUCGAGCGGAGCGGCGGACGGGUGAGUAAUGUCUGGGAAACUGCCUGAUGGAGGGGGAUAACUACUGGAAACGGUAGCUAAUACCGCAUACCAUCAGAUGUGCCCAGAUGGGAUUAGCUAGUUGGUGGGGUAAAGGCCUACCAAGGCGACGAUCCGUAACUGGUCUGAGAGGAUGAUCAGUCACACUGGAACUGAGACACGGUCCAGACUCCUACGGGAGGCAGCAGUGGGGAAUAUUGGACAAUGGGCGAAAGCCUGAUCCAGCCAUGCCGCGUGUGUGAAGAAGGUCUUCGGAUUGUAAAGCACUUUAAGUUGGGAGGCGUUACCAACAGAAUAAGCACCGGCUAACUUCGUGCCAGCCGCCGCGGUAAUAC